rnacentral:rRNA from 1 species
AGCAGCUCCCGUAAUUCCAGCUCCAAUAGCGUAUAUUAAAGUUGUUGCAGUUAAAAAGCUCGUAGUUGAAUUUCGGGAUCAUCAGGUUGGUCGUGCCUCUGGUAUGUACUUUCCUCGAUGGUUCCUCCUUCUUGAAGAACCGUAAUGCCAUUAAUUUGGUGUUGCGGGAAACCAGGACCUUUACCUUGAAAAAAUUAGAGUGUUCAAAGCAGGCUUAUGUCUGAAUACAUUAGCAUGGAAUAAUAAAAUAGGACGGUGGUCCUGUUUUGUUGGUUUCUGAAUCACCGUAAUGAUUAAUAGGGAUAGUUGGGGGCAUUAGUAUUCAAUUGUCAGAGGUGAAAUUCUUGGAUUUAU